rnacentral:rRNA from 1 species
CCUACGGGCGGCAGCAGUGAGGAAUAUUGGUCAAUGGACGCAAGUCUGAACCAGCCAUGCCGCGUGCAGGAAGACGGCUCUAUGAGUUGUAAACUGCUUUUGUACGAGGGUAAACGCAGAUACGCGUAUCUGUCUGAAAGUAUCGUACGAAUAAGGAUCGGCUAACUCCGUGCCAGCAGCCGCGGUAAUACGGAGGAUUCAAGCGUUAUCCGGAUUUAUUGGGUUGAAAGGGAGCGUAGGCGGUCGGAUAAGUUAGAGGUGAAAGCCCGAGGCUCAACUUCGGAAUUGCCUCUGAUACUGUUCGGCUAGAGAGUAGUUGAGGUAGGCGGAAUGUAUGGUGUAGCGGUGAAAUGCUUAGAGAUCAUACAGAACACCGAUUGCGAAGGCAGCUUACCAGGCUACUUCUGACGUUGAGGCACGAAAGCGUGGGGAGCAAACAGGAUUAGAUACCCGUGUAGUC